UAUGUUAGGAUGCUCCUGUGUUGGUUUCUUCUAGCCCAAGUAACUUGAGGGCUCUCACUGAUAUGUUUAUAAAAAGAUAAAGUGAAGAGAGAUAAGUUCUAUGGAGAUGGACUAUAUCUGUUUGUUCAUUGAAACCACUGCACUAUUACCUCGGGGUCAUUGUUAUACCCAAUAAGAGCUAAUUGAAUGCAUGCCCUGAGGUCCCGUGACCAUUGAUCUGAGCCAUGACAAAAUUCCAGACGGAAGUCACUUAUGAGGAGACAUUUAAUUUUGCUCAGGUUUUCAGAAGGGACAGCUUCAUCAUGACAAGAAUGGCAAGGUGGCUGAAGAAACUUGGUCCCUGGUAGCAGGAGCUUGAGCUGCAACUUGGUGACAUUUUGCUAGCUCAGGAAGAAGAGAACUUAUGCCAGAAUCAGAGGUGCCUACUACGUUAACGAGAAAUAACACAUUUCUGAUCAGCUAGACCAGGCCUCUUAAUAUUACUAAAACAUCCCAAAUAGGCCCACCUACCUAGAAGCAAAUCACCAAAUGGAUAAGUCUAUCAGGGAUGUUUCAUGUUCAAUCUGAAACUUCAUAUAUAUAUCUUCAGUCUUUUACAAAGAGCUCCUGGCAUCAGCAGGCAGAAUGGCUGCAUGGUGCCUUGUUAGACAUUUCCUUGGGCUUUACAGAAAAAAGCAAUGUGCAUUCAGGAAACGAUGUGGAAGGGCUGCUGGAUGGAGCAUGCGCAUCACUGGCAUGGAUUCUUGCUCAGGACUUUUCUCAUUACCCAGGAAGAACUGGCAUGCCAGGAGUGGGACCCGUGGAGGCUCCCAAUAGAUGAUCCCCUUCAUGGCCAUGAUGGAAUUAUGACAAAAUUAUGGCGAAAAACAUUACAUAGCCAGCAUGGAAAUUAAUGUGUUGUUAACUUUUUUUUUAAUCAUACUUGGUAGCUAACAAGUCUGCUUACUACAGUGUGGAUAGUGACAUAAGACACAAGGUUCCUGGCUCAGACUACAGCAUUAUUACUCCCUUCACAGCAAGGAGUCUGUGUGUAAGGAUUCCCCUUGCUCCAAAGAUUCAUGGGAGUGACACGGAUGAGCCACUUGUAGUGGCUUGUGUUAUAAGAGAGAAGCCUUAAGCUUAGGGAGGCCACAUCUUUCAUGAGUGACAGCAAAU